GUUUUAUUUUGUUUCUUAUUACACUGUUUUUUGGUUUCUAGCAUUAGAUUCUUUACCAGAAUUUCCAUCUCUCUGCUUACAUUACCCAUCUGUUUCUUGCAUGUUGCCUACUUUUCCUAUUUGAGCCCUUAACAAUGAUUUUUGAAUUCCCUGUUGCUUGCUUGAUCUGUGUUCUUUUUUCUUUUUUCUUUUUUUUUUUUUUGAGACGGAGUCUCGCCCUGUUGCCCAGGCUGGAGUGCAGUGGCCGGAUCUCAGCUCACUGUAACCUCUGCCUCCCGGGUUCAAGAGUUUCUCCUGCGUCAGCCUCCCGAGCAGCUGGGAUUACAGGUGCCCGCCACCACGCCUGGCUAAUUUUUGUAUUUUUAGUAGAGACGGGGUUUCACCGUGUUGGCCAGACUGGUCUCAAACUCCUGACCUCGUGAUCCUCCCACCUUGGCCUCCCAAAGUGCUGGGAUUACAGGCAUGAUCCACCGUGCCCAGCCCUUGAUCUAUGUUCUUAUUUGCUUUUUAGCAUGCCUUGUAAUUUUUGUUGAAAGUUGGACAUGUAUUGGGUAAUAGGCACUGAGAUAAAUAGGCAUCUAGUAUGAGGAUUCGUGUUCAUUUGGCUAGGAGUUGGGCUUUGUUUAGCUCUGUUGGUGUGGUGGUAAGGCACGAGGGAGAGAAGUGUUCUCAAUCUUAGCGAUUAAAUCUUAAGUCUCUUAGUGGGCCUGAGUCUCUGGCCUGGGACCUUCACUUAUGCUUCUUUUUGGAAAGCUUUCCUGUCCCUCUCAGGUGAGACAGGAAGAGGAGAAAUGGCUAGAGUGAGAGGAGUACUUUUCCCCCAUGGCUCUAGGACAAGCCUAAAGCCUGGUUAAGUGUUUCCCCCGAGGAGUUUAUUUUCUUUUAUCAUUUUUAUUUCAUUAUGAAGAAAGCUCUGGACAUAUUUCAUAAGAAUUGCUCUUCCCCUCCUGCAAGAACUAUGCUGGCAUCUUUCUCUGAUCUUCACAAUGAGAAACUGGUGGGAUUCCUAGAGGUCAUGUUCACAAAACCAAGAGGCUUUCCCCAAGACUGUGUUCCCGGAAGUGAGCCUACCAGUUUAGAGAUCCAGCACUUCUGCUCCAGCAAAGAACCUGUCCCAGCUGUGGUUAGAGAGAGACAUGAUGAAGGAAAAAGUGUCAGAGAGAAUGUGGUGUUGCUGGCAUUGAAGAUGGAUAAAGGGACCACGAACCAAGAAAUGCAGGUGGCCUCUAGAAGCUGGAAAGGUAAGAAAGCAGAUUCUCUCCUAGAGCUCCCAGAAGAGACACAGCCUUGCCAAUGCCUUGAUUUUAGAAUUUCUUGUCUGCAAAAACAUAAGGUCAUAAAGUUGUCUCAUUUUAAGCCACUAAGUUUGUGGUCCUUUGUUAAAGCUGCAAUAGACAACCAAUAUGCUUUCUAGCUGUAUGACUUUCUGAGUCUUGGCUUCCUCAACCAUAAAAAAUGGUAAUUGUCUUAUGGAGUGUAUAUGUGUGGAUGAACUGAGAUUAUGUACGUAAAGUCCAUUGUUAAUAAUUUCGUAUAUUAGUAUUGGAAGUCCAGUCCUAAAGAGUCUGAUUAUUUUCCCUGACCUCCAGAGUGGGCCCGGCUGCCAGCUGGUGAGUGGCUGCAUCUGGGUGUGUUGUCCAGGCCUUGCUGUUGGUGGGAUGUGUGCACCAGCAGCAGCUGCCUCGCCUUGGGAGCUCAUUAGGAUUGGGAUUGCCGAAUGUCAGGCACUCACCUCAGACUGACUCAGAAUCUGGAUUUUUAGACAAGAUCCCCAGGUGAUUCCCAGGCGUUUUAGAGUGUGAGACACACUGGACUAGUAGUUUUCCAACAUCACAUAUGCUAACAGAACAGAUGCCUGGGCCCAGAAUUUAUGGACGUGGGCUUUCAACGUGUGUAUUUUUAAUAUGCUUUCCGGUUAUUUCUAAUGCACAGAGUGUGGCUAACCAUCCAAAUAAAUGCUUAGAAAUGUACUUUAAUGUAUGAGAUUCAAAUCAGAAUUGCAAAAUUUUAAAUUAAUACUUUUUUCUCUAAGGAAAACAGCUGUGCUACAUAAGUGUGUAUUACUGAGUACUAUAUUUUAAAAAGAUACAUAAAGGAAUAAACAUCAAAGAACAGCAGAGACACGUUCUUGCUAGUUCUUAACUGUUAUGAUUCCAGUUCUGGCUUUAUCAUAUCAUAGACUCUUCUUUCAGAAGACUCAUCCCGUGUGCUUAAUGCAGAAGCAAUUAGACAAACCUGUGGAACUUUGGCAUUAAAAGCUUUCAGCUGUUUUUAAGAAGAGACCUUGUUAACUGCUGAUUACAAUGAUCAGAAGACAAAGCUCUCUCUGUUCUAGGAGUACCUGCAUCCCUUCCUCCACAGACAGCAGCAUAAGGAGCGAGUUGAGCAGCUUUCAUUGAGGCAGCUCAGCCGUGCUUCCAGGGGGCCGAGAUCCAGAGCACAGAUACAUUCCACGAACCAAAACUAGACUGAUUUCUCUCCAGAACGCCCAGGCCAGAAGAUGCAGAGAUGAGAGCUCCAGGCUGAGUCUGGACAGAGGGCUCGGAUUCAGCCUCUCACCCUGGAGCUCCAACAGAGGGUAAGGGCUAGGGACAGGAGCUAAAAUUGAGAAGACAGGGCUGAGUGCCCACAAGGCCAGAAGGGCAGCAGAUGAGGAAGGCAGUGUGGUGUUCCUGGACAGUUGCCAUGGACAGCUGUGAGGCACUUGUGGCUCUUGUUUCUUAGGCAGCAAGGGUGUGGUGCAGGUGCGUUGGGCUGCCUUUUAGCUGCAAUGUGGAGAUGAGCCCCAUACCCUCAUUACUUCCACCAUAAAAAGCAGAGACUUAGAGCUAGCCAAGAGGAGGCCUAGAGAAAACUUGUCGUUGUAGCCAUUGAGGGCUUGGCAGCCCUGCAUACUAACUGCAAGGGCUGAUAUGGAGGAGAACAGGGCCCCGGAUGGCCUUGGCUGACCCGACUCUGCUUCCUCCGGCUUCAGUACUUGGAAUAUAUGGAGGAUGCAACAUCCUGAUAAGGAGGAAGCGGCAAAGAACCCGGCUGUGUCCUUGAGCCUCCCAAAACAGAAUGUUCUUCCGCACUUCUGCCCAGUGAGCUAAGUGGUACCAGGGGUGGAAAACCCAAAGCAGAGCACUUUCAGGGUCCCUCAGCUGUGGCGCAGUGUGCGGUGGACACGGACGAGACUCCACCUGCCCCACACAGCUCUCCGAAUCUUGGGGCACCAGCUUGGCAUGGAUCCUAGGCUUCUGAUAUCCUUGCCACCUAUCGGUGAGUAAUACAGCUGCUUUGCCUGACGUGUGAGAGUGUUCUGUCUCACCAAACUCAUGCACAUGGCAGAGAACCUUUGCACUGUGAGGACCGUACUUUACCAGUGUUCAGACCUCUAGAAAUAGCCUCCUGAGGUCUCACCAGGCCUGACUUACUGGCCCAGAGUAUCAAAGGUUGUGCCCACAGAGGAGCGUCUUCUUUAGGGUUUGGCCAUGCAGGUCUGUACACGGUAAACAUACCUGAUAGCAAUAACUUAAGCAUACCCUGAGAAUGACUUUGUAUGGCAGACGCACCUGAAUGUGGUCUUGAGUUCCAAGCUGAGGAACCCAGAGUAGCCAACCUGGAGAUUCAUUCCAUGUCAAUGAGGAACAUCUGAGCCCUGGCCCUGUCCCGUAACAUGCAGGCCAUGCAGGGGCUCGCGGCCUUUGUUUUAGGUUGAAAGAAGGUUGCCAGGUGGAGGUGCUUAGGGAGAGGGUGUUAAGUGCUAUAGAAACUGCAUGCUUUUUGUAAGUGGUUGUGGUUCUUCUGUCCAGCCAGCAACCACUGGACUCUCACUUGUAUGUAAGUCCCCAGUAAAACCUGUCUCAUUUGCUGGCUCUAGGUCUCUUCUUUGUUCUCUUGAACCUGGUGUCAUCCUCCAUUGGAGUCAUAGGGGUUCAGCACAACAGUCUGCAAGCAGAAACUGCUGUACUAUUCUGGAUUCUCCACUUCAGUGAACACACAAUUACAAUUUCCUGUUAGAAAAAAAUAAAAAGAUAUUUUUUUCUACACUUCUUUCACAGUCCUAA
rnacentral:lncRNA from 1 species